CUUGCCGGAAAUAGUACAGACAGGCUCCCUUAGUUUCAAUGUUAGAGAAUUUGUCCCAUAUGCACUGCAGUGUUUUAAAUGCCAAAGAAUGGGACAUGUAGCUGCUCAGUGCAAAGGAAAGAAAAGAUGUGCCGAGUGUGGAGGGCCACAUGUAGAAGCAAUGUGAAGGUUAAGUGCUGUAAUUGUGGGGGAGAACACAGUGCAGCAUUUGGUGGAUGCCAGGUACAGAGAGAGGCUAGAGAGGCUCAGAGAUACAGGAUCAGUCAUGAUGUAUCAUAUGCAGAGGCCGUAAAACAGAUUGGUAGAACUACAGUGCGGACUGAUGGAGCUUACAUGGGUGGACCUACUGUCGUGGCUGGUGAUUCUGAUGGUCCUGGCAUGGUUUCGAGGCCUGUUCAGAAAUCUUGUGCUCAUGAAUGUGCGGUGUCAAAGGACACUUUAAUGAAUAAAGUUGACUUCAUAGCUUUUAUUGGUAAGGUUAUCAGUACGACUCGGGUUGUGAAAAGCAGAAAUGCCAGGUUUAAGGUUAUUGUGGAGACGGCAGAAGAGAUUUUGGGGGUAACAGAUGUUACUGUUGAAAUGGUUGUUGACAAUCCUACGGGUGUGGUGUGUUUCAGCAUGAUACAUAUAACGUUUAAUGGAGUUGGGGAGGGGGAGGGUGUGGUGGAAGUUAGGGAUUUAUUUAGUUUAGAAUUUUAUUUUCGUAGUAGUACAGAAUUGGGCAGAUCCUGGCUGAUCGUACAUUCCAGCACAGUAGAUGGCGGCAUGCACUUUAAUGAUUAUUUGCGGACCGCCAUGAUAUCAUAGAAGAAGAGAGCACACCUCAUUGACAGAAAAACUUGAAUUGUUGCAUCUCGUUGUGUUGUUGUCCUCUGGUGGCUAGUCAGUCAGCUAGCUAAAAUUGUCCCUGUCCUAAAUUAGCCAUGGAUGGAGAUCGGGACUUGGAUUUGUAGUUUUACUUAAUUCUCCGUACUGGCCAAUGUUUAUAACGGCGAUUCUGAACCAACCGUUAAUUCAUACAUUUUUGUACUCCUAACCUGGGAGGAUGGAAGUUCAAUGUAUG
rnacentral:lncRNA from 8 species